AUUGAACGCUGGCGGCAGGCCUAACACAUGCAAGUCGAACGAGUGGAGGACGGGUGAGUGAUGACGGGGAAACUGGCUGAUGGAGGGGAACAACUAGAGGAAAGGGUAGAUAAUACAGCAUAUCAGAGGAUGUGCCCAGGUGGGAGUAGCUAGUAGGUGGGGUAAAGGCUCAACUAGGCGACGAUCCCUAGCUGGUCUGAGAGGAUGACCAGCCACACUGGAACUGAGACACGGUCCAGACUCCUACGGGAGGCAGCAGUGGGGAAUAUUGGACAAUGGGCGCAAGCCUGAUCCAGCCAUGCCGCGUGUGUGAAGAAGGCCUUCGGUUUGUAAAGUACUUUCAGCGGGGAGGCGUUACCCGCAGAAGAAGCACCGGCUAACUCCGUGCCAGCAGCCGCGGUAAUUC
rnacentral:rRNA from 1 species